rnacentral:misc_RNA from 1 species
AUUGCAGGAAUAUGGGUUUAAUUGGGCUUCACAUGGGCCUCUUGGACGAAGCUAUCUAAGAUCAACCGGGCUUCUAGCUGGGCAGCAGAAAACUGCUAGUCGUCUUCUCCAUUCAUCUCCUAAAGCCGUGAAAAACAUUGCAGUAUAUAUGCUAUCAAUUUCCCAAACACAACUAUAACAACUCUUUCCAAGAGUCUGAAUCUUGUGAGCAUUUCAUGAUCUGAUUAUGUCGAAGACUGGGAAUUCUCUCUUCAUUAACCAACCAACUAUUUCAUCAACUUUCUUUGGUGAGUUCUUCUAUCACUCUCUAUUCGUGCUUG